GGAUGUGGCUCAAGUGGUAGCAGGCUCGCCUGCCAUGCGUGCGGCCUGGGUUCGAUCCUCAGCACCACAUACA
rnacentral:tRNA from 1 species